rnacentral:tRNA from 1 species
GCUGACUUGAGAGAGCGGUUUAUCCUACCAUCUUGGAAAGGUGGCGUACUGAAAGGUACCACAGGUUCGAAUCCUGUAGUCAGCGCCA